rnacentral:rRNA from 1 species
GAGGGUGCAAGCGUUAAUCGGAAUUACUGGGCGUAAAGCGCGCGUAGGUGGCAUACUAAGUUAGAUGUGAAAUCCCGGGGCUUAACCUCGGAACUGCAUCUAAAACUGGUAAGCUAGAGUCCUAUAGAGGAGGGUAGAAUUCCUAGUGUAGCGGUGGAAUGCGUAGAUAUCAACAGGAAUACCAAUGGCGAAGGCGGCUUUCUGGAUGCAUACUGACACUGAGGUGCGAAAGCGUGGGGAGCGAACAGGAUUAGAUACCCUGGUAGUCCACGCCGUAAACGAUGUCUACUAGCCUUUGGAUUUGAUCCAGUGGCGCUGCUCGCAUUAACUUAUCCGCCUGGGGAGUACCGUCGCAAGGCUAAGACUCAAAUGAAUUGACGGGGACCCGCACAGACGGCGGAGCAUGUGGUUUAAUUCGAUGCAACGCGAAGAACCUUACC